rnacentral:tRNA from 1 species
GACUUGGUAGCUCAGUUGGUAGAGCAUCUCCCUUUUAAGGAGAGGGUCCCGGGUUCGAGCCCCGGCCAGGUCA